UUAUUGCGUGAAGGAUUGCAGCGGCAUCCUCUUGUUUGCCCUUAAAAGGCAAACUAGAGAUACAGCGGAAAGCCUGACCCUUU
rnacentral:sRNA from 1 species